UACGUAGGGUGCAAGCGUUGUCCGGAAUUAUUGGGCGUAAAGAGCUCGUAGGCGGUUUGUCGCGUCUGCUGUGAAAACUCGGGGCUUAACUCCGGGCCUGCAGUGGGUACGGGCAGACUAGAGUGCGGUAGGGGAGACUGGAAUUCCUGGUGUAGCGGUGGAAUGCGCAGAUAUCAGGAGGAACACCGAUGGCGAAGGCAGGUCACUGGGCCGCAACUGACGCUGAGGAGCGAAAGCAUGGGGAGCGAACAGG
rnacentral:rRNA from 1 species